GGGAGGUAGUGACAAUAAAUAACAAUACGGGGCUCAUUCGGGUCUCGUAAUUGGAAUGAGUACAAUUUAAAUCUCUUAACGAGGAACAAUUGGAGGGCAAGUCUGGUGCCAGCAGCCGCGGUAAUUCCAGCUCCAAUAGCGUAUAUUAAAGUUGUUGCAGUUAAAAAGCUCGUAGUUGAACUUCGGGAUUUGUUUAUUGGUCAGGCUUCACUGUCUGUACUGGUAUAACGAAUUCCUACCUUCUGAUGAAUCUUCAUGCCAUUUACUUGGUGCGGAGGGGAAUCAGGACUGUUACUUUGAAAAAUUAGAGUGUUUAAAGCAGGCUAUUGCUCGAAUACAUUAGCAUGGAAUAAUAAAAUAGGACGGUUGGUUUUAUUUUGUUGGUUUCUAGGAUCACCGUAAUGAUUAAUAGGGAUAGUUGGG
rnacentral:rRNA from 1 species